rnacentral:rRNA from 1 species
GACGAACGCUGGCGGCGUGCCUAAUACAUGCAAGUCGAACGCAUUUUCUUUCACCGUAGCUUGCUACACCGAAAGAAAAUGAGUGGCGAACGGGUGAGUAACACGUGGGUAGCCUGCCCAUCAGCGGGGGAUAACACUUGGAAACAGGUGCUAAUACCGCAUAAUUCCAUUUACCGCAUGGUAGAUGGAUGAAAGGCGCUUUUGCGUCACUGAUGGAUGGACCCGCGGUGCAUUAGCUAGUUGGUGGGGUAACGGCCUACCAAGGCUGCGAUGCAUAGCCGACCUGAGAGGGUGAUCGGCCACACUGGGACUGAGACACGGCCCAGACUCCUACGGGAGGCAGCAGUAGGGAAUCUUCGGCAAUGGACACAAGUCUGACCGAGCAACGCCGCGUGAGUGAAGAAGGUUUUCGGAUCGUAAAACUCUGUUGUUAGAGAAGAACAAGGAUGAGAGUGGAAAGUUCAUCCCUUGACGGUAUCUAACCAGAAAGCCACGGCUAACUACGUG